UACGGAGGGUGCAAGCGUUAUCCGGAUUCACUGGGUUUAAAGGGUGCGUAGGCGGGUUGAUAAGUCCGUGGUGAAAUCUCCGAGCUUAACUCGGAAACUGCCGUGGAUACUAUUGAUCUUGAAUAUCGUGGAGGUAAGCGGAAUAUGUCAUGUAGCGGUGAAAUGCUUAGAUAUGACAUAGAACACCAAUUGCGUAGGCAGCUUACUACACGAUCAUUGACGCUGAGGCACGAAAGCGUGGGGAGCAAACAGG
rnacentral:rRNA from 1 species